rnacentral:misc_RNA from 1 species
GAUGAAGAACGUAGCGAAAUGCGAUACGUAAUGUGAAUUGCAGAAUUCAGUGAAUCAUCGAAUCUUUGAACGCAUAUUGCGCUCUCUGGUAUUCCGGAGAGCAUGCUUGUUUGAGUAUCAGUAAACACCUCAACUUCCAUAUCUUUUUUGAAAUGGGAGUUGGACUUGAGUGAUCCCAACGCUUUUCCUCACCGAAAAGUGGCGGGUUACUUGAAAUGCAGGUGCAGCUGGACUUUUCUCUGAGCUAUAAGCAUAUCUAUUUAGUCUGCCUAAAAAACAGAUUAUUACCUUUGCUGCAGCUAACAUAAAGGAGAUUAGUUCUUGUGCUGACUGAUGCAGGAUUCACAAAGACGGCUUCGGCCGACUUUGUAAACUCCAUCUCAAAUCAAGUAAGACUACCCGCUGAACUUAAGCAUAUCAAUAAGCGGAGGA